GACGAACGCUGGCGGCGUGCUUAACACAUGCAAGUCGAACGGAAAGGCCCUGCUUUUGGGGUGUGCUCGAGGGGCGAACGGGAGAGUAACACGGGAGUAACCCGCCCUUGACUUGGGGAUAACUGCAGGAAACGGGGGCUAAUAGGCGAUAGGACCUCCUGCUGCAUGGGGGGGGUUGGAAAGUUUCGGCGGUUGGGGAGGUACGGGCGGCUUAUCAGCUGGUGGGGGGGGUAGUGGCUUACCAAGGACUGGAGGGGUGGCCGGCCUGGGAGGGUGACCGGCCACAUUGGGACGGGGAUACGGCCAGGCCUCCACGGGGAGGCAGCAGUGGGGAAUAUUGCACAAGGGGCGGAGGCCGAGUGAAGCACCGCCGCGUGGGGGAUGCCGGCCUUCGGGUUGUAACCCGUUUUCGCCUGGGACGAAGCGUGAGUGACGGUAAUGGGUAAAGAAGCACCGGCUAACUACGUG
rnacentral:rRNA from 1 species